GCCAUAGCUCAGUUGGUAGAGCGUGAGACUCUCAAUCUCAGGGUUGUGUGUUCAAACCCCACGUUGGGCA
rnacentral:tRNA from 1 species